GUUUCUUCAUACUAGGCGACAAUAUGCUCUGUCAAGUGCCCUCUCGCAACACCAGCUGUGUCAUCUGCACUGGAAAGGGUUCCGUAUGCUGCACCGACUGUAAAGGAACAGGUCACCGUGCAAAGUGGUUGGGAGAGCCUCCUAUCCCCAAGCCUCCUGUUACUGAAGAGUAACAUCUCCACUGAUCUCUUGAAAUUUUAAUCAAGUUCUUGAUCCUUGGACAAGAUCAAUGUUCAG
rnacentral:misc_RNA from 1 species